rnacentral:misc_RNA from 1 species
GAUGAAGAACGUAGCGAAAUGCGAUAAGUAAUGUGAAUUGCAGAAUUCAGUGAAUCAUCGAAUCUUUGAACGCACCUUGCGCCCUUUGGACAUUCCGAAGGGCAUGCCUGUUUGAGUAUCAUGAACACCUCAACUCUCACGGCUUGUCCGUGAUGAGCUUGGACUUUGGGGGUCUUGCCGGCCUGUGGUCGGCUCCUCUCAAAUGGAUCAGCUUGCCAGUGUUUGGUGGCAUCACAGGUGUGAUAACUAUCUGCGCUUGUGGUUUUCCAUCAGAUAACCUUCAGUGAUAUGGAGGUUCGCUGGAGCUCACAAAUGUCUCUCCUUAGUGAUGACAGCUCUUUGAACGUUUGAUCUCAAAUCAGGUAGGACUACCCGCUGAACUUAAGCAUAUCAAUAAGCGGAGGA